rnacentral:rRNA from 1 species
GAUGAACGCUGGCGGCGUGCCUAAUACAUGCAAGUCGAGCGAAUGGAUUAAGAGCUUGCUCUUAUGAAGUUAGCGGCGGACGGGUGAGUAACACGUGGGUAACCUGCCCAUAAGACUGGGAUAACUCCGGGAAACCGGGGCUCAUACCGGAUAACAUUUUGAACCGCAUGGUUCGAAAUUGAAAGGCGGCUUCGGCUGUCACUGAUGGAUGGACCCGCGUCGCAUUAGCUAGUUGGUGAGGUAACGGCUCACCAAGGCAACGAUGCGUAGCCGACCUGAGAGGGUGAUCGGCCACACUGGGACUGAGACACGGCCCAGACUCCUACGGGAGGCAGCAGUAGGGAAUCUUCCGCAAUGGACGAAAGUCUGACGGAGCAACGCCGCGUGAGUGAUGAAGGCUUUCGGGUCGUAAAACUCUGUUGUUAGGGAAGAACAAGUGCCAGUUGAAUAAGCUGGCACCUUGACGGUACCUAACCAGAAAGCCACGGCUAACUACGUGCCAGCAGCCGCGGUAA